rnacentral:rRNA from 1 species
UACAGAGGUCUCAAGCGUUGUUCGGAUUCAUUGGGCGUAAAGGGUGCGUAGGCGGCGCGGUAAGUCGGGUGUGAAAUCUCGGAGCUUAACUCCGAAACUGCAUUCGAUACUGCCGUGCUUGAGGACUGGAGAGGAGACUGGAAUUUACGGUGUAGCGGUGAAAUGCGUAGAUAUCGUAAGGAAGACCAGUGGCGAAGGCGGCUUCCUGGACUGUCCCUGACGCUGAGGCUCGAAAGCGUGGGUAGCAAACAGG